rnacentral:rRNA from 1 species
UACAGAGGGGGCAAGCGUUAUUCGGAAUUAUUGGGCGUAAAGGGCGCGUAGGCGGCUUGGCAAGUGGAUGGUGAAAUCCCUCGGCUUAACCGAGGAACUGCCGUCCAAACUGCUUAGCUUGAGACCGGGAGAGGUGAGUGGAAUUCCCAGUGUAGCGGUGAAAUGCGUAGAUAUUGGGAGGAACACCAGUGGCGAAGGCGGCAUCCUCGAGCCGGUAUGACGCUGAGCGCGAAAGCCAGGGGAGCAAGCAGGG